CCACCCCCACACCGCUUCUCUUUGUCUUCGUAGUCGUUGGGUUGAUUUCCACCAGCUGUGGAUUAACCCACUCCCCUGGACUCCUAAUUACCCACUUCUCCCGUCUUCCAGACCAGGCCUCUCAGGGUUCUCGUUCGAGGGCAAGAGCUGGAUGCCCUGUCCUGGGCAGGAUGUCGCAGCUGUGUCGCCAGCAUCUGCAGACAGACCCAUGGACGUUUUCAUCCUUGUGGUUUCAUCGCACAAAAGGUUCUCACUCAAAUGGUGAAAAGCACGUGAUUUAAAAUCGAACAGAACUUUCUGGAGAGGACGAUGAAGAAGAUCAGAGUGGGGACUAUUCAAGAGGAGACUGAAAAUUUAUUAAUUCAAUUAAAAUGGGAUUUAUAAAUAUACUACGCUCAGGUGGCAUGACGUGUGAACAGACGAAAGAUUAAAAUCACCGAGGAAAUCGCUCCGUCUGAGCCCAGAUCACGACGCCUUUCAGUGACCCAGCGACCCAAAUGCUAUCUGUCAACUUGUCCUUCCAGAGACUUUUCACCCCAUGCUCUGCGGCUGCUACUCCAGGAAAAAAAAAAAAAAAAAAAAAAAAAAAGUAAGAAAGGAAAAAAAAACAAAAAUCAGGAGUUGGAAGGAGGGGGAAGAGGGGAGGAGAGAGGGAGGAAGCAGGGAUAAAAUACUGCCUUAUUACUAAGGACUCUGCAAUGCAGGUCAACUGCAGGGCGCGUGAGCCUUUUUAACAAACUAAAUACUUUUUCCAGACCCUCACUCCCAGUGUUUCCUCACUGUCUCCUCAAACUCUCAGCUCCCUUGGGAAAUGUCAUGCCAAGUCGUAGGACCUGGUCCCACAACAGAACUCCGGUCCUAGAGAGUCCCCUGAGGAUGGAGAUUUUCCUAAUUUUCAAAAAUCUUUCCACAAAACCUGUUUGGCCUUUGCUUGGGUUCUUGAUGAGUUUGAAGGGUCACCAGGUUUGCAUUGGCCUCCAGGUAUAGCCAGAGUUAGGUUACUUAUGUCAGGGUGAGAGGCAGGGAUUGGGUGAGAUGAGAGGAGGGGGUAGAAACAAACACCCUGCAGACAUUUCACAGGGUUGGGCUCUCAUAUUAAGAGCCUGCCUGUUAAGAGCCUGGGUUGGACACUUUGAAUGCCCCAGCAAAAGACAGAUAAGGCUGCCCGUUCCUUAAAGGCACUAGAUUGAAUCAUAUGAAGUUACAUUUUUCUUUUUCAGGUCAAAACCAAUCAAAUAUUGGCAAUUCCACGUGGUUCAAACUAUUUCACAAUCUAAAUAGCACCUCACCAUAGUAAGUUUGGUAAAUAUCAAACAUUAUCUUCUUUCAAAGAAAUGGUUCUAUGCUCUGCUAUGCUAGCAUCUUGAGCACAUUCUUUGUCUGCCCAGGGAGCCAGUCAGCACUUGGUGGUGGUGGUGGGGAGUGGGUGGUGGUCAAAUUCUGCGUUAAAAUAUAGCAGAAAAUAGAAGCUCCUUUGCAUACCUUUAAACAGACCUCUAAUGUGUUUUUCUGAAAGACUUCAACAUGUGAUAUUUCAAAUUAUACAACUUUAAGGAGACAUUGUAUGAAAAUUCAGGACUCUGUUAAACUUUCAGACACUUAGAAACUUGCAUAGAAAUAAAUGUUUGCAUGCUCUUUCACUUGGUGUCUUUUUCUGUUCCAGGAU